rnacentral:rRNA from 1 species
AGGACGAACGCUGGCGGCGUGCUUAACACAUGCAAGUCGAGGGCACUUUGGGGGCAACUCUGGAGUGACCGGCGAACGGGUGCGUAACACGUGAGCGACCUUGCCUCGUGGUGGGGGGAUAGCCGGCCCAACGGCCGGGUAAUACCGCAUAGGGUAGUUCUUUCGCAUGGGAGAACUAGCAAAGCCCUGGAGCAAUCCAGUGGCGCCACAGGGGGGGCUCGCGGCCUAUCAGCUAGUUGGGGGGGUAAUGGCCCACCAAGGCGACGACGGGUAGC